rnacentral:rRNA from 1 species
UCCUUCGGGUGAAGUGAGGCAAUGACUAGAGUGGCGAACUGGUGAGUAACACGUAAGAAACCUGCCCUUUAGUGGGGGAUAACAUUUGGAAACAGAUGCUAAUACCGCGUAACAACAAAUCACACAUGUGAUCUGUUUGAAAGGUCCUUUUGGAUCGCUAGAGGAUGGUCUUGCGGCGUAUUAGCUUGUUGGUAGGGUAGAAGCCUACCAAGGCAAUGAUGCGUAGCCGAGUUGAGAGACUGGCCGGCCACAUUGGGACUGAGACACUGCCCAAACUCCUACGGGAGGCUGCAGUAGGGAAUUUUCCGCAAUGCACGAAAGUGUGACGGAGCGACGCCGCGUGUGUGAUGAAGGCUUUCGGGUCGUAAAGCACUGUUGUAAGGGAAGAAUAACUGAAUUCAGAGAAAGUUUUCA